UACGGGGGGGGCAAGCGUUGUUCGGAAUUACUGGGCGUAAAGGGCUCGUAGGCGGCCAACUAAGUCAGACGUGAAAUCCCCAGGCUCAACCUGGGAACUGCGUCUGAUACUGGAUGGCUUGAAUCCGGGAGAGGGAUGCAGAAUUCCUGGUGUAGCGGUGAAAUGCGUAGAUAUCAGGAAGAACACCGGUGGCGAAAGCGCUCUGCUAGGCCGCAACUGACACUGAGGGACGAAAGCUAGGGGAGCGAAUGGG
rnacentral:rRNA from 1 species